GAUGAACGCUGACAGAAUGCUUAACACAUGCAAGUCAACUUGAACUUCGGUUUGGGUGGCGGACGGGUGAGUAACGCGUAAAGAACUUGCCUCACAGUUAGGGACAACAUUUGGAAACGAAUGCUAAUACCUGAUAUUAUGAUUUUAGGGCAUCCUAGAAUUAUGAAAGCUAUAUGCGCUGUGAGAGAGCUUUGCGUCCCAUUAGCUAGUUGGAGAGGUAACGGCUCACCAAGGCGAUGAUGGGUAGCCGGCCUGAGAGGGUGAACGGCCACAAGGGGACUGAGACACGGCCCUUACGCCUACGGGAGGCAGCAGUGGGGAAUAUUGGACAAUGGACCAAGAGUCUGAUCCAGCAAUUCUGUGUGCACGAUGAAGUUUUUCGGAAUGUAAAGUGCUUUCAGUUGGGAAGAAAAAAAUGACGAUACCAACAGAAGAAGUGACGGCUAAAUACGUG
rnacentral:rRNA from 1 species